AUUAUACAGUGAGGAAAGAUCUAAAAGCCUUUUAAAAACUUCUGAAAUCUUUAGAAAACUCUACAGAACUCACUGGUGUUUAAAUAAAUAGAAAAUGCAAAAACCUAUUGAGGCUCUGGCCUUAUAUUACAUAAUCUACAAAAAAAAAAACACAGUUUGAAGCUCAAACUUAGCAGAUAAUUAAAUUCUAGAUUCCCCCUCCCCUUUUUUUAAAGGCUUUUCAGCUGCAAGGUUUUUAGAUCUGUACCAAAAGACUUGCUCUAGGAUUCAAUGCAGUCACUCAUAUAGCGUUCAUUCUUAGUGUGUUAAUACAAGAAUCUAUAAUCUAAAUGAGGUUUACUAAACAGAAUCUUUAAAUUUAAUGUUGCUGUCCGUUGGACAAGUUUGUCAAAUACAGAGCCUAUCUUUGUGUAAAACUACUUCUUCCCCAACCCUUCCAAGACUCCUCAUCACCCAUCAUAGAAGAACUGUUGAA